rnacentral:rRNA from 1 species
CCCCGCNCGCGGUCGNUUCANAGGNGGCNCANGGUUGUNNNNNGCUNGUGUCGUGAGAUGUUGGGUUAAGUCCCGCAACGAGCGCAACCCUCGUUNUAUGUUGCCAGCACGUUAUGGUGGGGACUCAUAGGAGACUGCCGGGGUCAACUCGGAGGAAGGUGAGGACGACGUCAAAUCAUCAUGCCCCUUAUGUCUUGGGCUUCACGCAUGCUACAAUGGCCGGUACAAUGGGUUGCGAUACUGUGAGGUGGAGCUAAUCCCAAAAAGCCGGUCUCAGUUCGGAUUGGGGUCUGCAACUCGACCCCANGAAGUCGGAGUCGC